AUUGAACGCUGGCGGCAUGCCUUACACAUGCAAGUCGAACGGUAACGGGCCUUCGGGUGCCGACGAGUGGCGAACGGGUGAGUAAUGCAUCGGAACGUACCUUUCAGUGGGGGGAUAACGUAGCGAAAGUUACGCUAAUACCGCAUAUUCUGUGAGCAGGAAAGCAGGGGAUCGCAAGACCUUGCGCUGAUUGAGCGGCCGAUGUCAGAUUAGUUAGUUGGUGAGGUAAAGGGCUCACCAAGGCGACGAUCUGUAGCGGGUCUGAGAGGAUGAUCCGCCACACUGGAACUGAGACACGGUCCAGACUCCUACGGAGGCAGCAGUGGGGAAUUUUGGACAAUGGGGCAACCCUGAUCCAGCCAUGCCGCGUGAGUGAAGAAGGCCUCGGUU
rnacentral:rRNA from 1 species